rnacentral:rRNA from 1 species
GAUGAACGCUGGCGGCGUGCCUAAUACAUGCAAGUCGAGCGAACGGACGAGAAGCUUGCUUUUCUGAUGUUAGCGGCGGACGGGUGAGUAACACGUGGAUAACCUACCUAUAAGACUGGGAUAACUUCGGGAAACCGGAGCUAAUACCGGAUAAUAUUUCGAACCGCAUGGUUCAAAAGUGAAAGACGGUCUUGCUGUCACUUAUAGAUGGAUCCGCGCUGCAUUAGCUAGUUGGUAAGGUAACGGCUUACCAAGGCAACGAUGCAUAGCCGACCUGAGAGGGUGAUCGGCCACACUGGAACUGAGACACGGUCCAGACUCCUACGGGAGGCAGCAGUAGGGAAUCUUCCGCAAUGGGCGAAAGCCUGACGGAGCAACGCCGCGUGAGUGAUGAAGGUCUUCGGAUCGUAAAACUCUGUUAUUAGGGAAGAACAUAUGUGUAAGUAACUGUGCACAUCUUGACGGUACCUAAUCAGAAAGCCACGGCUAACUACGUGCCAGCAGCCGCGGUAAUACGUAGGUGGCAAGCGUUAUCCGGAAUUAUUGGGCGUAAAGCGCGCGUAGGCGGUUUUUUAAGUCUGAUGUGAAAGCCCACGGCUCAACCGUGGAAGGUCAUUGGAAACUGGAAAACUUGAGUGCAGAAGAGGAAAGUGGAAUUCCAUGUGUAGCGGUGAAAUGCGCAGAGAUGUGGAGGAACACCAGUGGCGAAGGCGACUUUCUGGUCUGUAACUGACGCUGAUGUGCGAAAGCGUGGGGAUCAAACAGGAUUAGAUACCCUGGUAGUCCACGCCGUAAACGAUGAGUGCUAAGUGUUAGGGGGUUUCCGCCCCUUAGUGCUGCAGCUAACGCAUUAAGCACUCCGCCUGGGGAGUACGACCGCAAGGUUGAAACUCAAAGGAAUUGACGGGGGCCCGCACAAGCGGUGGAGCAUGUGGUUUAAUUCGAAGCAACGCGAAGAACCUUACCAAAUCUUGACAUCCUUUGACAACUCUAGAGAUAGAGCCUUCCCCUUCGGGGGACAAAGUGACAGGUGGUGCAUGGUUGUCGUCAGCUCGUGUCGUGAGAUGUUGGGUUAAGUCCCGCAACGAGCGCAACCCUUAAGCUUAGUUGCCAUCAUUAAGUUGGGCACUCUAAGUUGACUGCCGGUGACAAACCGGAGGAAGGUGGGGAUGACGUCAAAUCAUCAUGCCCCUUAUGAUUUGGGCUACACACGUGCUACAAUGGACAAUACAAAGGGCAGCGAAACCGCGAGGUCAAGCAAAUCCCAUAAAGUUGUUCUCAGUUCGGAUUGUAGUCUGCAACUCGACUACAUGAAGCUGGAAUCGCUAGUAAUCGUAGAUCGGCAUGCUACGGUGAAUACGUUCCCGGGUCU